CCUACGGGGGGCAGCAGUAGGGAAUAUUGCUCAAUGGGGGAAACCCUGAAGCAGCAACGCCGCGUGGAGGAUGAAGGUUUUCGGAUUGUAAACUCCUUUUGUUCGGGAAGAUAAUGACGGUAUCUAACGAAUAAGCACCGGCUAACUCCGUGCCAGCACCCGCGGUAAUACGGCGGGUGCAAGCGUUACUCGGAAUCACUGGGCGUAAAGAGGGCGUAGGCGGGAUAACAAGUCAGAUGUUAAAUCCUAUGGCUUAACCAUAGAACUGCAGUUGAAACUGGUAUUCUAGAGUAUGGGAGAGGUAGGUGGAAUUCUUGGUGUAGGGGUAAAAUCCGUAGAGAUCAAGAGGAACACUCAUUGCGAAGGCGACCUGCUAGAACAUAACUGACGCUGAUGCGCGAAAGCGUGGGGAGCAAACAGGAUUAGAUACCCCGGUAGUC
rnacentral:rRNA from 1 species